AAAUUGAAGAGUUUGAUCAUGGCUCAGAUUGAACGCUGGCGGCAGGCCUAACACAUGCAAGUCGAACGGUAACAGGAAGCAGCUUGCUGCUUCGCUGACGAGUGGCGGACGGGUGAGUAAUGUCUGGGAAACUGCCUGAUGGAGGGGGAUAACUACUGGAAACGGUGGCUAAUACCGCAUAACGUCGCAGGACCAAAGAGGGGGACCUUCGGGCCUCUUGCCAUCAGAUGUGCCCAGAUGGGAUUAGCUUGUUGGUGAGGUAACGGCUCACCAAGGCGACGAUCCCUAGCUGGUCUGAGAGGAUGACCAGCCACACUGGAACUGAGACACGGUCCAGACUCCUACGGGAGGCAGCAGUGGGGAAUAUUGCACAAUGGGCGCAAGCCUGAUGCAGCCAUGCCGCGUGUAUGAAGAAGGCCUUCGGGUUGUAAAGUACUUUCAGCGGGGAGGAAGGGGAUAAGGUUAAUAACCUUGUUCAUUGACGUUACCCGCAGAAGAAGCACCGGCUAACUCCGUGCCAGCAGCCGCGGUAAUACGGAGGGUGCAAGCGUUAAUCGGAAUUACUGGGCGUAAAGCGCACGCAGGCGGUCUGUCAAGUCGGAUGUGAAAUCCCCGGGCUCAACCUGGGAACUGCAUUCGAAACUGGCAGGCUUGAGUCUUGUAGAGGGGGGUAGAAUUCCAGGUGUAGCGGUGAAAUGCGUAGAGAUCUGGAGGAAUACCGGUGGCGAAGGCGGCCCCCUGGACAAAGACUGACGCUCAGGUGCGAAAGCGUGGGGAGCAAACAGGAUUAGAUACCCUGGUAGUCCACGCCGUAAACGAUGUCUACUUGGAGGUUGUUCCCUUGAGGCGUGGCUUCCGGAGCUAACGCGUUAAGUAGACCGCCUGGGGAGUACGGCCGCAAGGUUAAAACUCAAAUGAAUUGACGGGGGCCCGCACAAGCGGUGGAGCAUGUGGUUUAAUUCGAUGCAACGCGAAGAACCUUACCUGGUCUUGACAUCCACAGAACCCUGUAGAGAUACGGGGGUGCCUUCGGGAGCUGUGAGACAGGUGCUGCAUGGCUGUCGUCAGCUCGUGUUGUGAAAUGUUGGGUUAAGUCCCG
rnacentral:rRNA from 1 species